rnacentral:rRNA from 1 species
GACGAACGCUGGCGGCGUGCCUAAUACAUGCAAGUAGAACGCACAGUUUAUACCGUAGCUUGCUACACCAUAAACUGUGAGUUGCGAACGGGUGAGUAACGCGUAGGUAACCUGCCUGGUAGCGGGGGAUAACUAUUGGAAACGAUAGCUAAUACCGCAUAAUAUUAAUUAUUGCAUGAUAAUUGAUUGAAAGAUGCAAUUGCAUCACUACCAGAUGGACCUGCGUUGUAUUAGCUAGUAGGUGAGGUAACGGCUCACCUAGGCGACGAUACAUAGCCGACCUGAGAGGGUGAUCGGCCACACUGGGACGGAGACACGGCCCAGACUCCUACGGGAGGCAGCAGUAGGGAAUCUUCGGCAAUGGACGAAAGUCUGACCGAGCAACGCCGCGUGAGUGAAGAAGGUUUUCGGAUCGUAAAGCUCUGUUGUAAGAGAAGAACGGGUGUGAGAGUGGAAAGUUCACACUGUGACGGUAUCUUACCAGAAAGGGACGGCUAACUACGUG